rnacentral:lncRNA from 1 species
UUUUUUAAAAAAAAUUUAGGCGGGAAUAUUUGAACGACUUACAUGUAAGUCGUCUGUUUUAUUUUCUUCACCAGACGACUGAAAUGUAAGUCGUCCGAGUAAAAUGAUCAUGUUAGGUUAAAACGUACAUUGGUAAAAUUAAAGGUUCGGUACGAUGUGGACGACUGAAAUAUACGUCGUCCGGGUAAAUUAUUCAACAUACGACUGAAAUAUAAGUCGUCCACACCCUAAACAUAACCCCUAAACUUAAUUAUCUAAUUAAACACUUCAUAAAACCAAAUCAAACUCGAAAAGUGUUUACUAUACACAGAAAUAAACACAUAUAGGUGAAAACUAAUUUUUGAAAAAAACAUUUUAGUUUUCGAAAAUCUAACCCUAACAAUACAUACAAUACUACAACAUAUGUUUGCCAAACUCCUAAACAAAAGUAUUUCAUGAUUCACUACUUCCACUCAUCUAUCUUCAAAACAAAUCAAUUUUAUCAUAUCUUAAUUUAUAUCACUUAAAACUGUUUAUAAUUACUUGAUUUUUAUUUUUCACGCAUCAAAAUAUUUUUUUACAAGAUUUAUAAAUUAUUUUUAAAAUAAACUGGUACCAGAAGACUUACACUUCAGUCGUCCAGACGACUGCCAACAUCUCAGACGACUCAGACGAUUUACUGGAGCUAUAUUCGUAAAAAUGGCUUCUGUUUUUUUGUUUGGUCACAAGGGGUUGAGCUGUAAUUUCACUCGGAUUUUAGGUUAGUUUUGCAUUUGAUUCAAGUUUGGGUAUAGGUUUGGGAUUAAAAUCAAGUUGUGAGUUAGUUUUGGCAAAACCCCACCAGAAUAUGUGAUUAUAGUAAGAUUUGUUUUUAUUGAUGUACAACAUGAAUCACACAUAUUAGUUUUUCCUCAAAUUAUGCUAGUAUAAUUUUAUUGAUGUUGAAUUUUCUUCAUUUAUUUUAAUAAUGUUAACUUUAUUUCAUUUUCUAAGUGAUAUUAAUGAAAAUUAGAAAAUGUAUCAGCUAUUAAUUUAUGUAAAUUCACAUUUAUGUAUCAGUUUCAAAAAAGUGAUGUAAGUUACAUAAAUUUAUAUUAGUUUUAUCGAAGUGAUGUCAAAUAAUUUAAUAACAACAUCAAUUAUUAGAAUUGAUGGUAAAAAAAUAAUUUGUAUCAUUUAUUUAUAAGUGAUUUAAAUUGCUAUCAUUUAUUUUUGUGAUACUAUUUAUGUGAUGUAAUGUGAUUUUUUUUGUAGUGUUUGUUUGUUUGUAUUAGUGUAAUAAAUGUUGUUCAAAAUUUUUUUUUUAUGUAUUUGGUAUAUGGUCACUAGAUUUAAACUCAAGGUGUGUGAGUUGUUGACAAAGAAAUAUAAUUGAUAAUAAAUAGAUUAGUUCAUGUAUAUUUUAUUUUAUCAAUGAGAAUCCUAACAAUCCUAACAUAAAAUAACAAAUGUUAGUUUAUAUUUUUGUUGUUUUUAUCAUUAUUAUAAUUUUUAAAUACUAGAAAAUUUGAGGUAAAACCAUAUAAUUUUUUAUACCUAAAACUUCAACAUAUAAUAUUAAUUUUGUCUCCGAAAAUUAAUAAAGUUUAAACACGAAUAUAAGUAAUUUCCUACUGUUUGAAUCUUAAAUGUUGUUUGAAUAUAAUAAGACUGUAUGUGACAACCAUACAUACUGACAUACACUCAACAAACUGAAAACAAUUACAAUAGAAACAUCAUCAGCUAUAAGUUAUUUACUGUCUCUCUAAAGCAUUACAACAUCUUAAAAAUUUCUUGGAUACAAAUUUUGAUUAAUAAUUAAGGGUUAAUAAUUUAUUGUUAAACUAUUUUUUUGAAUGAAUGUUAAUUAUAUUCAUCAAAGCUCUGUUAUACAUCAAGUGCAACUACUUAGAAUGGUAAUUUUUUAAAAGGUAAAAACAUCAAUCUUAAACUUUGGUACCAGACCAAAUUUGAAGAAGCCUAAACUGUCGUUUGGAUCAAGGAUCGAUCACAAGAAAUAGAGAUCAAGUCCGAUAGGUUCAUCGAGCAGUCUAGUAUCUACUUUCGCUGACUAGAGAUGUGCGGCUCAUUCAUUCAAUAUCAAGCAAUCUACUACACGGUUAAUGAGUGGAUUAAACCUAAGAUGUAGCAGUAACUAUCAGGUUAAAGCUAGCAUUAAGAGUUGAGAUGAACGAAGACACAAUAGAGUUGCUUAUUUAUGUUUAGCCUUGCGAUUAACACCCUAGAACCCUAGACAAUCUAGCUAACUACUCAGCCAUAACCCAAGAUAAAUAAGACAUGAUAACUGAAUAAUAUUGCAUAUAAAUCCAAAGAUAAAUCAACAGGGUUCAGGAUGAUCUUCUCUGUCAAGAAGAGGAGCCGUCUCCCUUACAAUAGCAAUUAACCAAGAAUAGGUCUAGGUCUCUUGCAAAACUAGCGUAAUCCAAAAAUAAAAGAUAGAGGCAACUUUUAUAUGGAGGCGCCCUUAGACUUCAGAGUGGGGAAUCGGCAAAUCUUUAAAAGAUAUGGAGACUUUCAUAAAUGUCGAGAACAAUCGUCUGGCUGCUCCUGGUAGGAUCAACCGUCAGACUGCUCCACUUGAUUGUUCUUCGGGGAAAGUCUCUAAUUCUAGCUCCUUUCUUCACGCUUCUUCCUUUAACUCUUAAGUCUUCUCCAGACCUGAAAUGACUCUAAAAAGACUAGACUAACUCGAUAAAACACUCAAAACAAGUUAGGAAACAUAUACACAAUGAUGUCAAAAACACUAUAUAUCAAUUAAUGUUUUGGAUUCAUAAUUUUUCACUGAUUGAAAAUAAAAUAAAUAAUUUUUUUUAGUAAAACAAACUAAGCCGAAUGUUUAAUCAUAUGAAAACUCGAUUAUUUUACUUUUUGAUUUUAUAAUUGGCACAAAGUUAAUGAUGAUUAACUAAUAAAUAAAAAUCUACAAUAUUAUUAUAGUAAUAUAAUUAAUGAUGUGAUGUAUUGUUAAGAUAAUAUGAUUAAUAAAAUUGCUAAACUCAGUAAAAUAUGUAAAUACAAUUAAUACAAUUAUAUUAAUGAAAUUACUAAAAUGAUAUUAUCUAUAUUUCUAACCAAUUCUCGUUUACAUUAUUAUGCAUAUUUUUAAAUAAUUUUUAUUUAUCAUGUUAUUCAUAUUCGCAGCUAGCAGAUAUAGACUGACUUGAUUUGUCAGUGACAUCUCGUAAAUUGGUUGAAAUUUAAAAAUUCCUCCAAGUUAGGUGAACAAUCCACAUCGUUAUUGUCAUCAAUCAGCGUCAUGCCAAUUUUCAAUUAAAAAUAUGUAAUGUGACACUUUGAUUAUAAUAUAUGGAUGUGCAUGUAACGUAAUUCACCAUAAGGUCAAAUGGCCCACGAAUAUAAAGCCCAAGUCCACUAUAACUAUUAGCAAUAUAAUAUGAUCUAUCUUCGUGGGCUUAUUCAGUAAUACGAUACCUACUUGUUAAUUUCGAAGUAGUUCUUCGAUGCUAUACAAAAAGAAAAUGACUAUCUUUCUCGAAACAAGUAUAAAAUUAUUAAAAAAUUCAUUAGGAAAAAAAAGAGAAUCGGAAAAAAAAGGAAGAAAAUAUUCCCCUUUUAUAUAAUUUGACUGUCUGGUAUACUACCAUCAGGGCCGGUCUUGAGGGGAAGCCACCCAAUCCAAAGAUUACGGCAUCCAAAUUAGUGGGGUAUAUAUAUUUUUUAAAAAUAUUAGUAUAUACAUAAAAAGAAAAUCUGUAGAUUAUUUUGUUAAAAUAUUAUCUAUUGGACAUAUUCAGUUAUAAUAAAAUUUGUCAAACUUUUUAAAUAUAGGGCUUUUUGCAAAAUUGACCUACAACUUAAAGUUAAACACAAAACUAACCUCUUUUUUUUUUUAAUUGGUUUUGCCCUAUUCACCCCACAAGUUCAUAUAAUUUACGAAAAUGCCAUCAAUUUUUUUUUUCUUUUCGAAAAUGACAUCUUUACUCACUCACCCUCAUCAUCUUCAAGUAAUUACAAGAUUGCCAUUGUCAUCAAUACCACAACCACCAUGAACAACCAAUUUAAAGCUCUUAAUGCUCCCAAAAUCGAUUUACCCUUCUUCUUUUUCCAUUCUUGUGAACUAAACACAACAUAUCUCUCACCUUCUCUCCACAAUGAGCUAAAAAAACCCAAGAUUUUGAUUCUAAAAUUUUUAUGGUUCAUAGAGUCAUAGAAGCUAACGAUUCUGGGUGGGUGACUUUCGUUUGUGAUUCUGUGUGCUUGGAGAAGCCUUAUGUAUGCUAAGGAACUUAUCUCACCAAUUUAAGGUAUGACAUCGAGUUUUUUUCCAGAUUUGUUCGUCAGACGACUUACUUGGGAAGUCGUCUGGCUGUAGACGACUUACCUGGAAGUCGUCUGGCUGUUGACGACUUACCUGGAAGUCGUCUGGUCAACGCAAAGGUUAUUUUUGCAAUUGACUUUGAAAUCUGUAACCUGAGACGACUGAAAGUUAAGUCGUCUACUAUUGUUUGGUUUCAAAAAAAUUUCCAAAGAACCUAGACGACUUACAUUUCAGUCGUCAUAGGUUAGUUUUGCAUUUGACUAGAUAAUUACAGAAGUUUGACUUCCCCAGAUGACUUACAUUUCAGUCGUCUGUCGAAAAUUAAAAUAAUAAUUUUUUUUAAAGUAAACGACUUACAAUUAAGUAGUCAUAGGUUAGUUUAGCAAUUGAAAAAAAAACUUCAAGAUUUAAUUAUACACAGAAGACUUACUUGUAAGUCGUCGAGGAUUUUUUUCCGAGAUUCUGGUCAAACCUCGUAAAUCCUGGACGACUUACAUUUCAGUCGUCUCGUGGACGACUGAAUUAUAAGUCGUCUGUAUAUAAUUAAAUCUUGAAGUUUUUUUUUUCAAUUGCAAAACUAACCUAUGACAACUUAACUGUAAGUCGUCUACUUUAAAAAAUAUAUUAUUAUUUUAAUUUUCACUAGACGGCUGAAAUGUAAGUCGUCCAAAAAAGUCAAACUUCUGAAAUAAUCCAGUCAAAUGCAAAACUAACCUAUGACGACUGAAUUGUAAGUCGUCUAGCUUUUUUGGAGUUUUUUUUUAACCAAACAAUAGUAGACGACUUAUUUUUCAGUUGUCCGAAAUAACAGAUUUCAACGUCAAUUGCAAAAAUAACCUCUGCGUUGACCAGACGACGUAUAGUUUAGUCGUCUGGACAACUUAUAUUGAAGUCGCCCGCGUCUUCUCCGCUAGUUUUUAAGUCUUCUACGUUAGUUUUUGAAUAACUUGUAUUUUUAAGAGUGAUAAGUAACUUCAAGAUAUGUAAAACUCAUAUUUACAAAAUAUGUUCUCUCCCUUAGUUUUACUAAAUUUGACUAAGUUUUUCAACGCAAACUUAUAAAAAAUAUGAUAUGCUUUGACUAGUUACUAUUGUUUGUUUCCAUCUCUUAAGUAUUAUUGUAAUAGACAAUAAUGAUGACUAUUGUUAUGAGUUGGAAGAAGGGUUAAAUGCUUCUUAAAAUGUUGUACCAAUAUGAAGGUACCAACAUUCUUGUUUAUUAAGAUGAGAAAAGGCCAUUGGAGUUUAUUAUUUCAUAUGAGAGAUCCAAAGAUAAGAAAAAGGCUAUUGAAGUCUAUUAUUUCAUUGAUUUGUAAAUGUGUAAACACAUUGUUAGCACAUUUAAUACAUCUUGGAAAACAUUAAAACUGAUUUUACAAAAAAUUCACAACUAAAAGAGUAGACAUGCAAUUCACAAAACAGACCAAAAACAAAACUAUUAUAGAUCAUUCCUCUACAAAGACAAGCUUGGAUUCCACUUGAGUAGACAAGACCAGACGACUUUUAAGAAGUCCAGACGACUUCUAAGAAGUCCAGACGACUUCCAGGAAGUUCAGACGACUUUCUCAGAAGACUUUUAGGAAGUUCAGACGACUUCCAGACGACUUUACAGGAAAUCCAGACGACUUUACAGGAAAUCCAGAUGACUUUAAGACGACUUCCAGACGACUUCCAGACGACUAACAAGUAAGUCGUCCCAGAAGUCUUCCAGAUCUGAAAAACCUGCAUAUUCAAAAACGUUCAAAUGGCUUAAAAACAGAAAAAAUGAGUGGAAGAUUAGAUAAAUCUACCUUUACAGAACACACAAAAAUACAUAUCAAAAAAUAAUAUAUCUACCUUUAAAUUAGUGGAAGAUGAGUAUCAUCUAAUUAAAAACCUGCAAAAAAAGAUAGAUUAGUAAGAAAGACAUGAGACAAAACUGAAAAAUUCAUAUAAAGUUUGGUGUUUUCAAGUCAAAGAGAUUAGAGUGGGUUUGGAGAGUUUUAGUUUGGGAAAAAAGUAAGAACUUUAUACAACAAGAAGUUACCAAAUGAAGAAAAAUCAGACAUAAGAACUUACCAAAACGCUCAGAAAAAUCCAGGCGACUUCGUGGAAGUCCAGACGACUUCCUGGAAGUCCAGACGACUUUGUCAAAAGACAUCCAAGAAGUCCAGACAACUUCUAGACGACUAACAAGUAAGUCGUCUCAGAAGUCUUCCAGAUCUGAAAAACCUACAUAUCAAAUCCAGAUGUGAAAAAUCUGCAUAUCCAAAAACGUUCAAAUGACUUUAAAAUAGAGAAAAUGAGUGGAAGAUUAGAUAAAUCUACAUUUAUAGAACACACAAAAAUACAUAUCUAAAAUUAAUAGAUCUACCUUUAAAUUAGUGGAAGAUGAGUACCAUUUGAUUAAAAACCUGCAAAAGAGAUAAAUUAGUAAGAAAUACAUGAGACAAAACUGAAAAAUUCAUAUAAAGUUUGGUAUUUUCAAGUCAAAGAGAUUAGAGAGAGGUUGGAGAGUUUUAGAAUGAUAAACAUUACAUUUUUGUUGCAGCCAUUUGAGAGGAGGAGAGAGAAUGUGUAAAUUUUUCUUUAUAUAGGGAGACAAAAAAAUCCAAUUAGGUUAAAUAUUUUUGACUCAGACGACUUCCUAGACGACUUACAUUUCAGUCGUCUGUUGGAGAAAUUAAAACAGAUGACUUACAUGUAAGUCGUCCAGAAGAGUUUAAUAUUUUUAGUGGGAAAUUAAAUAUUUAUAGCGGAAAACUAAAAUAGAAGACUUUCCAGACGACUUACAAGUAAGUCGUCUGGUUUAAAUUAUUUAAGCGGGAAAAUAUUUUUUUUUUUUAAAAUUAGGCGGGAAUUUUUGGACGACUUACAUGUAAGUCGUCUGUUUUAAUUUCUUCACCAGACGACUGAAAUGUAAGUCGUCCGAGUAAAAUGAUCCGGCUAGGUUAAAACGUACAUUGGUAAAAUUAAAGGUUCGGUACGAUGUGGACGACUGAAAUAUACAUCGUCCGGGUAAAUUAUUCAACAGACGACUGAAAUAUAAGUCGUCCACACCCUUAACAUAACCCAUAAACUUAAUUAUCUAAUUAAACACUUCAUAAAACCAAAUCAAACUUGAAAAGUGUUUACUAUACACAGAAAUAAACAAAUAUAGGUGAAAACUAAUUUUUUAAAAAACCAUUUUAGUUUUCCAAAAUCUAACCCUAACAAUACAUACAAUACUACAACAUAUGUUUGCCAAACUCCUAAACCAAAGUAUUUCAUGAUUCACUACUUCCACUCAUCUAUCUUCAAAACAAAUCAAUUUUAUCAUAUCUUAAUUUAUAUCACUUAAAACUGUUUAUAAUUGCUUGAUUUUUAUUUUUCACGCAUCAAAAUAUUUUUUUUAUAAGAUUUAUAAAUUAUUUUUAAAAUAAACUGGUACCAAACGACUUACACUUCAGUCGUCCAGACGAUUUCCAACAUCUCAGACGACUCAGACGAUUACUAGGGCUAUAUUCGUAAAAAUGGCUUCUGUUUUUUUGUUUGGUCACAAGGGGUUGAGCUGUAAUUUCACUAGGCUUUUAGGUUAGUUUUGCAUUUGAUUCAAGUUUGGGUAUAGGUUUGGGAUUAAAAUCAAGUUGUGGGUUAAUUUUGGCAAAAACCCCUUAAAUCGGAUGUUGCUCUUGAGGGACUUUUGGGCCUAAUACGGACACUUCCAACUGCGUGUGGCCACUGGGCUUAUUACAUGAGGAUACCCAGCUCCCGUGGAUGCCUUCGGCGGGCUCCGGCAGGCCCUUAGUGGCUCAGAUUUACCCAGACGGUCUUUAGGUGCUAGUCGGAUCCCCUCGGAGCAUUCAGAUACCAUGGUCAUCAAAAAAAAAAACCCUUAAAUAUAUUAGUAAAUUUAUAUUUUAGAUAAUAAUUAAAACCCUAAUUCUAAAAUAGAAACAUAACAAUUUUUCCUUUUGUUCCAAACUUCCAAUUUGUUAUUUUGUGUCACCUUGCAGUCUUGCAACACUUUUAUUUUGCCCAGAUUUAAAUUCAUAAAUUAGGUCUUCAAUUAUUUCAACUCAUCCCUUCCAUCAGCAAUAAGUGUUUUUAUAUCAAUGUUUUUUAUGAACAUAUUAUGAAAUUUAAUUUUUUUAAUAAAAAUUUAAGUUAUUUUUAAUACUGUUUUGUGAUUUUGAUAAAACAUGUACGAGAGCAUAGUUUUAAAUUUUGAUUGAGACAAUAUAAAAGGUUGGUCCGACACCGACUACCAUCAGCAUGUAAUCUAGAAAACGAAACUCUAACUUCGACAACUACAUUUGGCGGAUGUCUUUCUUCUUCUUUUCUUUUUUUUUUGUCAAAAAAAUUUUGUAUAACUUUGAUAUUACCAAGUACGUUGACAUAACACACUAUAAACCACUAUUUUACAUGUUUAAAAAAAAAACUAGCCUUCAAAACUGUUUUACAUGUUUUAGCUAAGAUUAUACAAUUAUGCAUAUUGAUCACCAUUCAAAUCAUAUAAAUUUUUCUUAUUAUUUCAAAUGAUCCUGUUUAAGAUAAAUAUUUUAAAAUAUGCUACAGGCUAUUCGUCUAGCAUAUAUAUAUUUUUGAUUAAUAUGGGGUAUCACGAACCUACCAGAGAGUCUAGACUAAUUCUCAAAUAAAUGUACAGUUUAUGGAUAAAUAAUUUCUCCAGAUAUGUAAAUAGGCCGUAAACAGAGACUCAUAUUCGUAUAGGUGUUCAGACCAAUAUGAUUUGGUUUCACAGAGCAUGUAGAUCGAAUUUAAAAUGUGGUGCCAUCCCAAAUCAUUCCCUUUACCACUUGACCACAUAGUCUCGAACUAUUCAUCUAGCAUAUUUACAAAUUAAUAUACAUAUGAAUUCCAACAAAAAAAAGUAGUUACAAACAUGAAUACCAACAAAAAAAAAUAGUUACAAAAAUGAAUACCAACAAAAAUACGAAAUCACAAAUAACAAAAACACUGCUGAUGUGCUCAUAAUACAACUGUUCAAUCUCAAUUUUCAAAUAUUAGAACGAAAUUAUGUAUCAAGCUUCACAUGGAAUGACAAACAAGCAACAACUAAAUUCGAUUAGCUUUACCGACGGCUUUUACAGGUAACGUAUAUAAUUUUAAAUAUAACAAAUGCAUUUAGUUAAAUAUAACAAAUAUAACAAGCCUCAUCAAGGCAUGAAGGAAACCCUAAAACUCAUGUUCAGUUCUGGAGUAACGCUUAUGUCAGCAAUCUGUCAGAGCGAUUAGUUUUGUAAAAUAAUACUGAUUAGUGCUCUAAUUACGCUAAAGACUAAAGUAGCUGAUACAUCAAAUCUAGCCACAUCCCCCUCCAUUAACAAGUGGAAGGCUUUUUUCUUCUUUUGUUAAGAAAAGUGGAAGGUUUUAAUUCCCUUUUAAACAUAAACUACACACAUAUAUAAAUGAAAGAGAAAGUUUCCACCUUUUGUAAUCUGUAAGGGUCAAGUAUAUUUUGAGGGAUACUUCUGUAAUCAUGUGUAUUGAUAUAUACUUCUCGUACUAAACAACUUAUGAAAUGCAGACCGGGAGCUUGUGGUCAAGUGAUAAAGGGAAGGGUUUGGGAUUUCACAACAUUUUAAGUUCGAUCCACCUACCAUACGAAACUAAAACUUAUGAAAUGUAUGUCUUGCUUUUCUUUGCCUCUAGCCAAUGCUUACUUUUGGUCAAAGACUCAAAGUCUACAAAGCGUUCAAGACUUUCAACUCCAUAGAUUUAUAUAUAAUUACAUAGUUUAAACUAUCUUAAUAAUUAUUGUUCUGCAUUAAUUUCUUUUUCCUUGUCCUAGUUAUCUGCUCACUAGCUUAUGGUGGUGUACUGGUCAAAUUGUCUUAUAAAGUUUUAUCAUUGCAAUGUCAAUCAUAGUUGUUUAUUAUAGACGUUAAGAUAUUGAAAAUUCAUAUGUUCCAAAAACUUAGUUUGACUUUGGUAAAGAUAAAAAAAACAAAAGUUGAGGAGAAAACAAGAAAAAUCAUGAAAAUCGUGCCACGGACGUUUAUAUAAAAAUGGUAAACUGGUAACAACAUAUCAGCCUUCAGUGAACUACAUUAAUUAGCUUAGCCUUACUAAAUACUCUUCGAGUUGUCGUUAUCAAUGCCAAUCGAGGAGGAGAGGACCAAACCUUUGUUUCUCCUAGAUGGGGUUUUGAACAGUUAUAAUUUUAUAACGCAUUGUGGUCACAGACGCAAAAUCAUUUCACGUAGGCCUAAAUACAAACGAGAAAAGAGCCUUUUGAUUAUUUCGUAUGUGUAAACUCAAACACAAA